rnacentral:rRNA from 1 species
UACAGAGGGGGCAAGCGUUGUUCGGAAUUACUGGGCGUAAAGGGCGCGUAGGCGGCCUGCUAAGUCGAACGUGAAAUCCCCGGGCUCAACCCAGGAACUGCGUCCGAUACUGGAUGGCUUGAGUUUGGGAGAGGGAUGCGGAAUUCCAGGUGUAGCGGUGAAAUGCGUAGAUAUCUGGAGGAACACCGGUGGCGAAGGCGGCAUCCUGGACCAACACUGACACUGAGGAGCGAAAGCCAGGGGAGCAAACGGG